rnacentral:rRNA from 1 species
UACAGAGGUCUCAAGCGUUGUUCGGAUUCAUUGGGCGUAAAGGGCGCGUAGGCGGCGGGGUCAGUCGGGUGUGAAAUCUUGGGGCUUAACCCCGAAACGCACUCGAAACUGCCCGGCUGGAGGGCCGGAGAGGAGAUCGGAAUUCACGGUGUAGCAGUGAAAUCGCUAGAGAUGUGAGGAAGACCCGUGGCGAAGGCGGAUCUCUGGACGGCUAACUGACGCUGAGGCGCGAAGGCCAGGGGAGCAAACGGGG